UAUGGUUAGAAUGACUUUUAUUUUUACAGGAUGAGGAAUCUCGCUCUAGUGUGCCUCCACCAGGUAGAGCAGCUGCUCUUCCCCUAAGCUCCCAUGGAGCCCACGAAAUGGUGGUCAUUUUGGAGGGAAUAACGGCAAUUCUUCGCAGCAUGACGGCCCAUCUAAAACGGAUCUGCUCCUGCCGGGACUGCCUCCGCCCCCCCUCCCCUGAAU